UCCCUGGUGGUCUAGUGGCUAAGACUCUGUGCUCCCAACGCAGGGGGCCUGGGUUCAACCCCUGGUCAGGGAA
rfam:TPA: Bos taurus chromosome 22, whole genome shotgun sequence.